GCUGUGAGGAAUGCCGCAUGGACCGAAGCUAUGUGCUCCAUCUUAACGUGGUGGUAUUGAUACUACGUUUCGGACCAGGCUUCAUUCCCCUCAGC
rnacentral:pre_miRNA from 19 species